rnacentral:rRNA from 1 species
UAAAGAAUCUUCCGCAAUGGGCGCAAGCCUGACGGAGCAACACUGCGUGGAGGAUGAAGGCUUUCGGGUCGUAAACUCCUUUUCUGGGGGAAGAAGUUCUGACGGUACCCCAGGAAUAAGCGACGGCAAACUACGUGCCAGCAGCCGCGGUAACACGUAGGGGGCAAGCGUUGUCCGGAUUCAUUGGGCGUAAAGAGCUCGUAGGCGGUUCGAUAAGUCGGGUGUGAAACCUCCAGGCUCAACCUGGAGACGCCACCCGAUACUGUCGUGACUAGAGUCCAGUAGGGGAGCGUGGAAUUCCUGGUGUAGCGGUGAAAUGCGCAGAUAUCAGGAGGAACACCAGCGGCGAAGGCGGCGCUCUGGGCUGGAACUGACGCUGAGGAGCGAAAGCGUGGGGAGCGAACAGGAUUAGAUACCCGAGUAGUCCCUGAGCGGGCUGGCAAGGCGCAU